AAGCUUGAUAAACACCCAGCCUGCCCUGGUCACUGAGCAGGGACAAAGGUUCACAGAGGUGGCCCCGUCACAGCUGGACACUAUUGACUCUCCUUGGCACCAGACCUAGCAUGUCCUUGGCUUCAGAGGAUGCAGCUUUCCCUUCUCCUCUCUAUCAAAGUUCUCUGAGCCCCUGCUGGGCACCAGCGGCCAGUCCAGGCACUGGGGACGCAGCAGAGACAUGGAGUGCACUGUCUCAGGGGGAGACAGGCAUUAGCUGAACCUUCGCAAGGCGCCGCCACCGGCACGGCCAGGCCAGCAUGGUGGACCACUUACUUCCAGUGGACGAGAACUUCUCGUCGCCAAAAUGCCCAGUUGGGUAUCUGGGUGAUAGGCUGGUUGGCCGGCGGGCAUAUCACAUGCUGCCCUCACCCGUCUCUGAAGAUGACAGCGAUGCCUCCAGCCCCUGCUCCUGUUCCAGUCCCGACUCUCAAGCCCUCUGCUCCUGCUAUGGUGGAGGCCUGGGCACCGAGAGCCAGGACAGCAUCUUGGACUUCCUAUUGUCCCA
rnacentral:lncRNA from 1 species